GACGAACGCUGGCGGCGUGCUUAAUACAUGCAAGUCGAACGGAAAGGCCCUGCUUUUGUGGGGUGCUCGAUAGGCGAACGGGUGAGUAACACGUGAGUAACCCGUCCCUGACUUUGUGAUAACAUUAGGAAACUGGGGCUAAUAUAGGAUAGGAGCUCCUGCUGCAUGGUGGGGGUUGGAAAGAUUCGGCGGUUGGGGAUGGACUCGCGGCUUAUCAGCUUGUUAGGGGAGUAGUGGCUUACCAAGGCUUUGAAGGAUAGGCGGCCUGAGAGCGUUACCGGCCACAUGAGGACUGAGAUACGGAGCAGACUGCUACGGGAGGCAGCAGUGGGGAGCAUGACACAGUGGGCGGGAGCCUGAUGCAGCAACGCCGCGUGCGGGAUGACGGCCUUCGGGUUGUAAACCGAUUUCGCCUGUACCGAGGCGUGAGUGACGGUAAUGGGUCAGGAAGCACCGGCUAACUACGUG
rnacentral:rRNA from 1 species